UGGCAAAUAAUUUUCACUGUGGCUGCUGA
rnacentral:piRNA from 1 species